GGAUGUGAGGGCGAUCUGGCUAUGACAUCUGUUACCCCAUUGAUCACCAGGGUUGAUUUGGCUAAUCUGGCUGGCUAAUGAGGUGUCCCUGUCCUCCCUCACCUCUCCAUAUGUGUCCUUCCUGAAGCUAUGAGCUCAGGCAAAGAGGAUGACCUUCCCUGAAUAAAGGAGGGUGUGGUCUUAGGUCAAGGGGUAUAUCAGUAGCUGUGCUUCCCUGCUAGAACUUCCAAACAAGCUCUCAAACUUCAAUUCACGUGCCACUUUGUGCUUCUGGCUUUACCUAUGUACUGGCGUAUCAAACCGUGGGUU
rnacentral:snRNA from 1 species